GAUGAACGCUGGCGGCGUGCCUAAUACAUGCAAGUCGAGCGAACAGACGAGGAGCUUGCUCCUCUGACGUUAGCGGCGGACGGGUGAGUAACUCGUGGAUAACCUACCUAUAAGACUGGGAUAACUUCGGGAAACCGGAGCUAAUACCGGAUAAUAUAUUGAACCGCAUGGUUCAAUAGUGAAAGACGGUUUUGCUGUCACUUAUAGAUGGAUCCGCGCCGCAUUAGCUAGUUGGUAAGGUAACGGCUUACCAAGGCAACGAUGCGUAGCCGACCUGAGAGGGUGAUCGGCCACACUGGAACUGAGACACGGUCCAGACUCCUACGGGAGGCAGCAGUAGGGAAUCUUCCGCAAAGGGCGAAAGCCUGACGGAGCAACGCCGCGUGAGUGAUGAAGGUCUUCGGAUCGUAAAACUCUGUUAUUAGGGAAGAACAAAUGUGUAAGUAACUAUGCACGUCUUGACGGUACCUAAUCAGAAAGCCACGGCUAACUACGUG
rnacentral:rRNA from 1 species